GCCAGACGUGGUGGUGCAUGCCUGUAAUCCCAGCAGCUUGGGAGGCUGAAGCAGGAGGAUCGCAAGUUCAAAGCCAGCCUUAGCAAAAGCGAGGCGCUAAGCAACUCAGUGAGAUCCUGUCUCUA
rnacentral:sRNA from 1 species